CCAUGCCGCGUGAAGGAUGAAGGCCUAUGGGUCGUAAACUUCUUUUAUACGGGACAAAACCCCUCCUCGUGAGGAGGGUUGAUGGUACUGUAAGAAUAAGGGUCGGCUAACUUCGUGCCAGCAGCCGCGGUAAUACGAAGGACCCGAGCGUUAUCCGGAUUUAUUGGGUUUAAAGGGUGCGUAGGCGGAUUAGUAAGUCAGUGGUGAAAGCCCGUCGCUUAACGGCGGAACUGCCAUUGAUACUGCUAGUCUUGAGUAUGGUUGAGGUGGGCGGAAUGUGUCAUGUAGCGGUGAAAUGCUUAGAUAUGACACAGAACACCAAUUGCGAAGGCAGCUCGCUAAGCCAUAACUGACGCUGAGGCACGAAAGCGUGGGGAGCAAACAGGAUUAGAUACCUGGUAGUCCACGCCCUAAACGAUGAUA
rnacentral:rRNA from 1 species